GUUCUGUCCGUAGAAUUUGGUUCCAUAAAUUGGUUUAGCGUAGCAGUAUUGCUCAGGGUGUGGCGGCUGUCCAGGUACAUGUGUGCCAGAAUUUUCUGAUAAAAUAAUGUCAAAAGCAGAGUGGGAUGGUUCUAAAUUUAUCCCUGAGAAUGUUUCCUAUCAAGGUAAUUUUCAUGCGUAUAUUAUAUUAACUGUGGUUUUCACUAGGGUAUUAAGUGUGUUGACAUGCAAUACAUGAUUUGAAAAGGAAGCCUCUGUACAUAUCUAGCAGCAUGUGUUCAACACAAGUCUACGAGUAGCAUGUACAACAUGGUGCUAUGCAGGCCUUCAUGAACGUUAUUUCCCCAUUUUCAGAUUUUCUACGUCAUCCUAAUCAAUUCCAAAUGUAACAUUGGGGGUCCAUAUCUCUACUUUUACACUUUCAUAUGCAAAACCAUGGCAGAGGAGCACUAACCAAUGACAAAAUCCUUGAGUGAUUCAUUGCUAUUCUGUCUGAACUUCCGGUGCAUCCAGCCCAGUAACUGCAUCAGAGAGUUUUAGGAGUUAACAACAGCAUGGAAGAUCAUUAUUACUCAGUAUAAUGGAUUUUGGAAUAUAAGCAGCUCUUCCAAGUCUCUAGUAGCCAAAAGUAAGAUGGCUUGAGAGAAACACAGAGAUAAUUACAAGAUUGUGGUUAUCAAGAUCAACUCAUGUGAUUGCUUGCCAGUGGGUCCUCAUUUCUUGAUGUUAUAUACAUAGUGUCCGGAAAUGGAAUGACUUGAAUGCAUCAAAGGUACUACCAUUCCAUAAUAAGGAUUGUUUGCUUACAAUGUGAUGGCACUCUCAGGAAUAGUUGCAACUUGAAUCUGAUUUAAUCUUGGCUAGACUUCUGUUUUUUUCUAUGAAAACUAACUCGUUUGUUUUCUUACGGUUACCUUCUUUCCUUCUUCCUGA